rnacentral:sRNA from 18 species
CAACCACUUCGUUAGGUGAGGCUCCUGUAUGGAGAUAUGCUGCUGCCCAAAAACGUCCAAAGACGCCAAUGGGUCAACAGAAAUCAUCGACAUAAGGUGAUUUUUAAUGUAGCUGGCAAUGUCCUAUGCCAUACAGUGCUAAAGCUCUACGAAUGAAGGGAAUC